AACGUAUAAGAUCCGAGUAUCCAAAUAUUACAAUUCAGGUUUUAGCGGAAGGAAGUUGUGUGACGAUGGACUAUUGUACAGAACGGGUCAGGCUAUUUACAGAUGGGGACGGGAAAGUAGUUCAGGUUCCCAGGAUUGGAUAAAAAUACCGUGGGCUCUGGCGUACUCUCACUGAAAUCAUUUUAUAGUUAACCACCUUAGAUAAGUUCAUUAAAGACACAGACAAUUUGUUGUGUUGAAAUUUGAAAAAAAGUUCAAUUAUUGACUAUAUAAAUUGAAACUGGAUCAGAUUUCGACUUUAACUUCAAAGUUAGUGACAUCAAAUGGUUGUUUGAAUGAAUUAGAUUUUGAUUAAAUAAAAGUUUAUAAAGCUACA